rnacentral:rRNA from 1 species
AACGAACGCUGGCGGUGUGCUUAACACAUGCAAGUCGAACGAGAAAGUUUCCUUCGGGAAGCGAGUAAAGUGGCGCAAGGGUGAGUAACACGUGAAUAAUCUGCCCUCGAGACUGGGAUAACCUGGUGAAAACUAGGCUAAUACCGGAUAAGACCACGUCCCGCAAGGGAUGCGGGAAAAGGAGGCUCAACCUCCACUUGUGGAUGAGUUCGCGGACCAUUAGCUUGUUGGUGAGAUAACAGCUCACCAAGGCAAUGAUCGGUAGCUGGUUUGAGAGGAUGAUCAGCCACACUGGGAUUGAGAUACGGCCCAGACUCCUACGGGAGGCAGCAGUGGGGAAUUUUGCGCAAUGGACGAAAGUCUGACGCAGCAACGCCGCGUGAUCGAUG